ACACUUUUAAAAAGUGUUGCUAUAUGUGGGGUCGCUAGGUAUAUAGUGACAGUUAAAGAGUGUCGCUAUAACCUAAAAGAGUGCUGCUAAUUUACCAACACUUAUUUAAGCAUUUAGCAACCGCCGAAACUCUAUCUCGUUGUCUGCGGUGGCGAAGGAGGACGACAGGAAAGGCUCUUCGUCUAGAAUUUCAGUGGAUUGAGUGAAGAGAGAAGAAAAGAUGGUAAUUGAUUUUUUUUUUUUUCUUUUCUGUUUGUAAUCGGGCCAAAUGGACUGGGUGUAGUGGGUUGAGUAGAGUAAUCUUUUAUUUUUGGUUGGAUUGAGCUUUAUAUUUAGGCAUUAGUAGAUGUGUUUUUAAGUUUUAGCAUAAAUGGGACACUUACUCAAAAGUGUCCCAAACAUGUGUCCCUAUAACCUAAUUCUGUUGUAAUGCUUGCUUAUUGAAAAAGGUCCAGCAUAUUACAGUUCUUUGAUAACUUAAGCUUUUUUUUAAAAAAAAAUAACUAUUCCAUACUAUUCCGUAAGAAAAGCUAUUGUAAUGUCCAAAAACCAUCCUCAAAUCUUUUCUUUAUGAAAUUAGAUUUUUUUUUUUUUAAGUUAGGUAAAUA
rnacentral:lncRNA from 1 species